rnacentral:tRNA from 1 species
GGCUCCGUAGCCCAAUCGGCAGAGGCAGCCGACUUAAGAUCGGCCUAGUGUCAGUUCGAAUCUGACCGGAGCUACCA